AACGAACGCUGGCGGCAUGCCUAACACAUGCAAGUCGAACGAGACCUUCGGGUCUAGUGGCGCACGGGUGCGUAACGCGUGGGAACCUGCCUUUAGGUUCGGAAUAACAGUGAGAAAUUACUGCUAAUACCGGAUGAUGUCUUCGGACCAAAGAUUUAUCGCCUUUAGAUGGGCCCGCGUUGGAUUAGCUAGUUGGUGGGGUAAAGGCCUACCAAGGCGACGAUCCAUAGCUGGUCUGAGAGGAUGAUCAGCCACACUGGGACUGAGACACGGCCCAGACUCCUACGGGAGGCAGCAGUGGGGAAUAUUGGACAAUGGGCGAAAGCCUGAUCCAGCAAUGCCGCGUGAGUGAUGAAGGCCUUAGGUGUAAAGCUCUUUACCGAGAUGAUAAUGACAGUAUCGGGAGAAUAAGCUCCGGCUAACUCCGUGCCAGCAGCGCGGU
rnacentral:rRNA from 1 species